GGUUCGGCUUCAUGUGCACCGCUCUGUCCGGGUCCCACCGACCCAUCUCCUCACGAGAGCCCAGGACCAAGAGCUGCACGUCCGCACUGUCCGGAGCGAGAAUGACCCCGAAUCUGAACAACAUGGUCACGGGUGUCUAACACGGCACGGUUAGAUUAUAGCGCGACUGCUGCCCUCAGCCAGGAACGGCUUCACCAUCUCCUCUGUGACAGGGAAGUUUCGGGGAAGCUCUGAGCAACGCUUGAUCAAAGUGGGGUUGACUCCGUUCAGAAACUGGUCACCACUCCUCUACAGCGACUCUCCAGUCACAUUCACAGACACCAGACACCAGGUAUCAGACCACCGAACUCCUGCUCCACAUACUCUCCCCUGGAAAUCCAUCUGUGACAGGGGAAGAGAUUUGCCUUGCCCUCUGGAGUCGUCACCUCUAUGGUGGAGAAGUACCACUCUUCUUCCUCGAAAUUGAGAAAGGGUUCCUUCUCCACCUUGACCAGCAGGAGUUUCCCCAGAGAUGAACUGGUUUUCACCGUGUAGGUCCCAGUCUGGAAGUAAGAGUUAAUGUAAAUAUAAACAGUGAAGUAAGUGCAACAUCGGUUGAAAAGGGUUGGGUUUAAUGUUAUCAGUCUCAAAAGCAUUUCCAAGUCCACAGAGAUAGACAAACAUGGCAGAUGCCUGGUGGAAGUGGGUCAAACACCACACCUUGAAUAAACCUAAGAAAUAAAACAAGUGGUUGGAAUUUUCUGAAACACUGCCCAUAAAUGUGAUCUACAAAAAAUAAAUCGAUUUGCUCUGGCAGAAAUCUGCUCAUCUUAACUGAAAAAUUGACGUUGAUCAAACUUUGAUUAGGUAGAAACUAUGUAAAAUAAAAUAUAGAAUGAUUCAAAUAAACAUACAAAUCUGAACCAGGGAGAAAGCGUACCAGUAGAAAUGGGCCUUUAUGAGAGAUUUCAAAGAGUAUAAGGAGUUUGUUGGACUGACCACCUCAAGGAUAUUGAUCCAGAGAGUGGGAUUUUACUUAAUUUGAUAAUACAUUUUAGAGUGUCGUGCAGGUCGAUUUAACUCACUUUCCCGGGAUAGAAGUCUAUACCCCAGUUGUCCAGUUCAGUUUUCUCACUCUCUCCGUCACUUUCAAUUAGAGUGACAUAAACAUGAUCCCAUGUUCCUGCACUUGGCAAGUAACCUGUUGACACCUGAAGCUUGUACUCAGCCAUGGUCACUCAGUGGAUCAGUGGAAGAACUAACAGAUUUUUCCUCUCCGUGCUCAGUUUUCUUGCUCUCUGCCUCUUCUCCUCACAACCAUCCACCCUCUAUUUAAGACCUUUACAAGACCACACCUCUUUUGGUCAUUAAAAAAAGUUCAGUCAGACAACAAACGAUCGAACAUUUAUUGCAACAGAACAGGUUUAGUGUUUGGCGAGGCUCCAACUUGAUCACUCACCCAUAUGAUUGCACAGGAAGGAUGGGAGUGAUGAGCAAAUACUUGUAACCCUCUUGUAGCCUACAGGUGGAUGCUGGGGUGGUGGAGGGGCUGAAGCAAUUGGUAGCAAUACUGCAGCAGCAGUGUGAGCAAAGGGGAUGAUGGGAAAUUUCUCUCUCCUUAAAUAGACCACUCGAUAAGGUGGGUCUGUAUUAUAGAUGGUUGUGGAGAGUGAGGUGUGUCACAUGAUGUAUGUCACAUGAUUGGGGCAGUGCAGCCUGACCUAGCUGGCUGUUUUUUUUUGUCAGCUUGAAGUCCUUUACAUCAGGAUAUGACACUUAUUUGCUCAGGUUUGUACUGAUGCUUUGUCUGCACUAGUUCAAAUCUGUCUACAUGUUUUAAUUUAACUCAAAAUUACUUACUUUGUACUCAAAGACCGAACAUUUCUGAUAGGGUGAGAUGUGACCUUUUGACAGGGGUGUUUCCAGGAACUUUAGGAGACCUGCAUGUGGACCGUACACAACCAAUAUUUAUUAAGUAAUCAGCCCUUCUCAGGGUGGAAUCAGGUCAGGGCCUCAAGUAAUGACCUGAUUUGCCUUCAGUGCUGCAAUAUUCCUGCCUGGUACUAAUAACAACAGGUUUGGUCAUGCUGGGAACUGGCACACUAAUCUCAUAUCACAUUUCAUUUAAUUGUUGUUAGUUUAAACUUUUAUUCAAGGUAUAGUCGGAUCAGGUGUGUGUUUAGUGUGCUGUGGAAGAUGUAUAGACUUUCUGCUGUCCUGAAUUCAUUGGGGAGCUCAUUCCACCAUUUAUGCCCAGGAUGUCUUCACUUUACCCAAUAUGUCUUCACUGUCCCAAUGUUUCCUAACUUUCCCCAACAUGUCCCCACUUUCCUCAAAGUGUCCCUUGCUCCCCGAUAUGUCUAUACUUACCCUAACAUUUCGUCACUUCCCCCAACAUGUCCCCACUUUCCCAAAAGUGUCCUCACCUUCCCAAAAUGGCUGAUGCAUCUCUGUCCAGAUCUAUUUAUUAUAAAGAGCCCCAACAUAAUGGUUUCAACAUGUGCAUCUGUCAUGAACUUUACUUCUGAUGGACAUGAACUGAUAAAUUUCUCAUAAUGUCAUGAAACUAAAGGGAGGUUGCAACUAUGAGAGACUACAAUUUUAAUGGAUUCAAAGUUGAACACAGGUGACGGAAGGUAAUUACACACAG